rnacentral:rRNA from 1 species
UACGUAGGGUCCAAGCGUUAUCCGGAAUCACUGGGCGUAAAGCGUGCGUAGGCGGGUGUUUAAGUGCAAUGCGAAAUCCUGUGGCUCAACCAUAUGGACUGUAUUGCAUACUGGAUACCUGGAGGAAUGCAGAGGCAAGUGGAAUUACUGGUGUAGCAGUGAAAUGCGUAGAUAUCUGGAGGAACACCGGUGGCGAAGGCGGCAUCCUGGACCGGCAUUGACGCUGAGGCGCGAAAGCCAGGGGAGCAAACGGG